rnacentral:tRNA from 1 species
AGAGUAAUAGCUCAGUGGUAGAGUACAUGCUUAGCAUGUAUGAGGUCCUGGGUUCAAUUCCCAGUACCUCCC